CUUUCUCACUAAGUAACCAAAUGGAGAAUUUCUCUCAGAUGGAAGCACCAGAACCUAGAGUGAGGAUCUUCUGAAGAAAUACAAGUUAUGGAUUAUUUUACUUUCCCAUGUGAAAGCAUACUGGUGAAGUCAAAGGUCAACUGACUGUCUCUCAUACUAAUGGACUGCAGACAUAGACUCUCAGGGUACUGGCCUGAAUUAAGAGUAACCCAGAACAUUAAGGAAGCCAAAACCUACUCUAAGAAGCAGAAGGACCUACCCCCGCCGAAAUCAGCUUUGUUCUAA
rnacentral:lncRNA from 1 species